GGGCCCUGCUUUGCCCUGCUUUGCUCUGCCCUGAGGCGCCCUGCCCGCCUCCCCUGACCUCCCUUGGCAUGGAGAACCUUAAUAAGACAAUAUUUUAAACCACAGCUUUCAGCCCUAACGUUUGUGUUGCCCGCGGGUGACCCCCCCAAGGUCACAGAGCCCUGUGGGAGGCAGCGAGCUGCCUUGUCCCCGGCGUGCCGCGGCUGGCCGGGGUGGCUGCCGGCUGAGCAGAAAGGCAGCAGAUGUUUAAUGUCUGUCUGUGAAAUGCGAAAUGCCACCAGGCUCUUCGCUGCUCAGCCCUUUACGCUAUUUCCCUUAUGGCUGCCUCGCUUCUUUUGUUCUUCCUUGGCAAGCUAAACGAGGAAGGAACUCGUGAAUUAAUAGAGGAGGAGGUGUCAAAAUUUAAAUGAUUUUUUUUCUUGCUACUAUUUACUCAAUUUGCAACACUUGUCACUGAAGGAAGUAAUAUAGUUACUCAUAAAAGAGAAAUCCGGAGGCUUUUAAUGUGAGAGUUGGUAAGGCAGGAGCCUGGAGGGAACCUGGCUUUUCUCCCUCCUCAGGAAGGUCAAUAGUUACCCUUUGUCCCACGGGGUGUGAGUGCUCUGCUCUCACCAUUAAGGUCACUGGCUCCUUUGGCAAACGGUUCGCUUCUUUUUACAAAAUAUAUAGCAAAAAUACUUUAAUUGACUUCAUAAUUGGUUUUUGAAACUUAAAAUCACAAUUAAUUCCUAAAUAGGUAUUUGUGCUAUACAUGAAAAACCUCAAAAAGCCUAGAGACUAGAAAACUUUUAUCUCUUCAAAAUUAAGCUCGAAACCUUUGUCCUUUCCCUGUUCAGUCCAUGUUAUAGACUCGAUGAUCUUUUGUCUUUGAGUAUAUUUGUUUUUCCCAUGGUAUUUUACUUCAGCAGCACUCACCAGGCAAAUUAAUCUAAAAUGAAGUUUACAACAAUGUAUCUGAAGUUUCCAGGCCCCAGAAGGACUUGAUUUGUGUAAUGGGACAGGAUUUAAUUCAGUUGUAAUUUUUAAUACAAGUUUAAGUAGCAGCCCUUCAUAAUUCUUUAGCCAAUUAUAUCUAACUGCUCACAGAUUAUGUAUUGUAUGUGGUUUCAGUUAAUUGUAUAGUACCCCAUCAAAUUGGUAAAUACAAUUGUCCUCAGCUUUUGAUAGACUACAGAAGGAGACACAGAUAUGAGUAACUUUCCUGGAAUGACAGAUGGGACUGCAGCAAGAGUCUGGCCAUUAUGUUUCAGUUGCACUAAUAUGUUAUGGAUCAGCAUUACAAAAUAAGCCCAUUAACACUGUCGAGAAAGGAAAGUCAUUGGCAGAGCAAGGAAAAGAAUUUAUGAAUACCAUUUCCUAAUCCUUCAGUCUAAACACUAAACCCUGUUGUCAUUAAGAAUUCAAAAAUAGAGAAUAUUGUUAUCCCUAAACUGCGAUUGUGCAUUUUGAUUCAAGGUUUACCUCAUAUAUUGUAAUAUGUUAUGGAAGAUGUUGACAAAAUGGAAUUUCUUAAAGGAAUGACAAUCUGUCAUGCAAAGGCUGCUUUAUUUGCAGUGUCUGUGACUCAGUGGACUGAUGAUACUGUCACUUGGAAAUUCUAAGCGGAAGAGGCUACAAAUAAACCAAGUCUCUGGCUUGCCAGUCAUAGCAAGGAAUCUGAUGAAGGGAAAUUAUAUAACUACGUAAGCACAGCGUUUUUUAUGCAGCCUUGGAAGCAGCCCCUAUUAUUCUCUUUAUGGGGCAAGUGAAAUGUGCAUCAGAUACAGGCAAUUAUUGGGUACAUCACUGCUGCCUUUGAAGUGCUCUGUCUUCUCUCCUCCUUCGCAAUAACCCAGGACUGGAUGCCAGUUUUAUUCCUUGUUCUCCUGUGUGAAAAGAAAGUUUGUGCCUUUCCUAUGAAGAUCAUGAAAAGGACAACAAUAUGCACAAGUAGGGAUAUUGCAGGAAUGUUUUGUUGCCUCCAGAAGAAGUUCUGCACUUGCACACUGAUGUAUGAGAACUCUUUACUGUGGCAGAACAGUUCAUACAGCUCAGGGGCCUGGACAGGACUCACACAGGCCACGCUCCUUGGUAGAGCUCCCCACGCCUCUGGGUGUGCAGUAGAGGAGCACAGGUGGAAGUAGAAGCACACUGGAAGUAGGAAAUGUCCUGAAGUUCAGCAAAUGCAACUAAUCAUUGAAGUCAACAAGUGUUGUAUUGUAGAAUGCCUUAAAGAACAAUAUGAAACUCUGCAGUCUCAACAAAAUAUGCUGCAAUGCACUGAAUGAGUACAGCAAUCCCAGUCAUUGCUGGAGUUUAUUUCAGCUUCUGCAUCAGUCACAGCACAGGAUGAAUCCCCGGCUGCAGUUCCCUGUCUCCAGCUACAGUCUCUGGUUGGCCGGAGUGGGAAAGCAACUUUCACACAGCUGAAGCAAAGUAAGGUGACCCUACCUUCUCCUCCUUGGCUAAGACACAGCAAGACUUAGAAUUAAUAAAAGGGUGAGACUUAGCUCAGCUCAGGCUUUGUAGAAAAGUGACAGAAGAUUCACUGUCUUUGUGCUGUGCUCUUCCAGCAGCCUCGGCUCCAGUACUUGCAGGGCAAGAACCACGUUGUGCUGCAGUAAUUUUAUCUGUGUCUCACAAGUAUCCAAACACAGUCACUGCUGUCCUACCUGGAGUGCUUGUGACAUGACUCAGGAAAUCCCUGGACAGGCAGCUUGCCUUGUGGGUUAUUUUCCAAUGAAGUGUCCACAAGCAGAGUGCCUGCAGCCUAAACCACCUGGCUUUGCACUUCCGUAUGUUCCAGGGAUGUGGUGCCUCCCAUGUCAGCAGAGACAUUACUGGUAAAUGCAGAACAUUAAUGAAGUGGAAAUUCCCUCUUUACAAUUUUCUGAUGCCAAUCAGCUUUUCUCCCUGGUGACUGGGAAUCCUGAGAUGCCAGCAGAACAAAACCAGCUAUUUGAGGAUAAUGUCUGGGAAAACCAGACACCAGGAACCAAGCAGCUGAGCUGAGCUGUGUUUAAGGUUACUGGGCUCUGAGUUCUUUAUGGCCACUGCAAGGUGUGUUUGUUGUCUCCCCACUCCUUGCCUUGAAAGAAGGGACAGUCCAGAAGCAGCUGAUUAAAAUGAGAUACCUGCCUAGAGAAUGACAAACACAGGCUGAAAGGUGAGGAGAGCAGUGCUGUACUUGACAAUUAGCAUGAAGAAAAUUUCCUAUGGAGAGCUUAAACCUCUACACCCAAGGCCAGUUACCUUAAAAAAAACAAAAUGGGCAAGACAAACAAAAAACUUACAUGAGAAGGUAAGUUGUAGUAAUUUCACAAGACAUUGAGGAUAUCACAGAUGGAACCAGAGCCAGGUACGUCAAUGAAAUCAAUAAAGCAGAAGUUUUAAGAAGAGGGAAAGAAAGAGGGGGAGGCAGGAAAUGAAAGGUUGACACCUGCAAGAGUCAGGCUUGGAAUGACAUGAAUUAACUUUUAUCAUGUAUGGGGACAAACAAGGCAGGUUGACUCUGAUUCCCUCUCUAUUUUUAAUGACUUAAGGCUGUUCUGUUUCCUUAAAAAAAACCAAAACAACAACCCCAAAUUAUUUAUAUUUUGGACUUCAUUGGAGUAAAAAGUAUGGAGUUUUUACAGAAAUUCUGAAACAAUUUGAAAUUAAAUGAAUUGUGUCAUCCUCACCUCCAAACAUUUAAUUUCUACUUUUUGUUUCUGCUGUCUUGCAAACAUAAACAAAUGGGUAGAAGCUGUACUCAUUACUCUGAAUGGCCUUUUUCAUUGUCUUUACAAAUCAGGUUCAUGCUGCCAAAUAGAUUAUUUUCCCCUCCCCAUAUCUGAUAGAUUUUAACAAAAUGCUUUUAUUACUACAAAAUGAUGACAUCUUGAGUCUGAGUAAAAAAAAAAAAAAAGUAAUCUUGUUGCUAAGUACUUCUCUUUCCUGUCAAAGUUUGCAAACACCCUCAUCACAAGAGUUGAGAAUGCAGCUUCCUCCCUGAGAGAGAACAUUCUGCCCUAGACAAAGCUUCUCAUUCACAGCUUAUUCCACCUUCCUUUGCCAUUUAGACUUUCCAAGCUCUGCCCUUAGGUACAGCUGAGCAGCACACUGAACAGCAUUCAGAGUUUGGUAAAAAAAUUAAUCCGUUUUCUUGCUAAUUUAAGAGAGUGUAUGUUUUAUUUUGAAUGGAAAUGUGGAGUUAGCAUAAAUAGCUAAUUUUACAAACAGGAUUUGGGAUUAUGUUUUGGCAUGCUUGGUCUGAAGUCCUUAGACCCUUGGUCCAGACUCUUACAGCUUCCUGAAGCUGCAUCUAAUGCUACUUUAUACUGUUGUGAAACAGAAAAAUUACUGGAUCAGAUGACUAAAAAUACUGGAAAUUUUGUUGGCAGGCCAGAGAGGGGAAUUUGUGAGACACUACAACCUUAAAUGACAUUCAAAAAAUAAAAAGCCAACAACUGAUUUUGCUUUCAGACAGCAGAAAUCCUGGAAAAUAGCAGAGGCAAUUUAAAGCCAGAGAGCUGUAAUGAGGAACAUACUACAACUUCACAUGGAAAUCCUUAUUUCUCUUGCCAGAGAAAACCUUCCACAUUUUCUCCUGCAGUAGAUUUAGACCUCUUUCAUAGAGAUGAAAUGAAAAAGGAAGUAGGUGAACCCAUCUUAAGACAGCUGGCUAACACCACUCCUUUGCUUUUGUAGGAGUGAGUGAUCUGAAGGCUGAUAUAAAAUACAUAAACUUGGCUCAAAGUAUAGUUAAAAAUUAAGCAGCUUGGAAAGCAAAAUAUAAAUUAUUCUGCUGUGUGUCUGGUAAGAGCUACAUGGGCUUUCAUAUUUCAAACCCAAGCCCUUCUCAAACAGCAAAUGAGUCAAGGUGGAAAACAGAGAAUGAAGCCACCUUGUCACUGAGCAGAUUAUCCUGCAGUGGAACUCCUCCUCUGGCUGCUGCAUGAGGUACACGUGUGAGUGACACUGCAGGACAGCUUUGGGAGCUUGCUUUGAGCCAGCUGCAGAAACCCAGCAAAACUGGUGAAGUGUUUUUACAUCCUGGGAGAAAUCCAGCUGGAGUUCCUCAAAAGGCAGUGGCUGAAUACAGAAGUCAGUGAUGCUGCUACUGUAACAAGGUAACAAACCUCUUCAGUAUUCUCCACUUUUUCUGUGGGUAAGCAGAACUACUUUAGUCUAUGAAAAAAAUUAAGAACAAGUAAGAAUCAUAAACCCAUAGUGAGGUGCAAACCCAUGUGACACACAUUUAGUAACAGAAAUAGGUAUUUUGGAAGGGAAUUAAGUUCUCUCUUUUUACUGGAAGAAUCUGUGUCCUAAAGUAGCAUCUUCCCACCAUCCAGAGAAUUUGACAUUUCAAUUUAAAAGAGGAAAAGAAGCCAAAACUUUGUGUCAUCAUAUAUGUAAACCAAACCCUAAGUGUAAUUAGAAGGACAGAAGAUAAAAAAGGAACUGUAGUUAUGCUAAAGAAAAAAAACCCUUCCACUUGUCUCAUAAUUCAAGGAAUGAUUUUGAGAAACCCAUCCUAGACAGAGAUACACAUCAGUAAAAAAUUUUGCCCAGACUUCAGUUAUCAGAUACACUUUAGUGCUAGUAUUAACUCUUGUUAUUGCUGGGUUACAGGAUGUUGCACCUUGGACAAGGACAAGUGACAAACAGGUCACUGCUGGGUAUGAUGGAGGCUCACUGCUGGGGUUUUUCUGCAGGAGCACUUUUCUGUUCACUGAGCUCUACUGCACCCACUCUGAGCUAGCACAAGGAGGAAAGCUGAACCAGUCACUGCAAUAAUACCAAGAUGACAAGCAGGCAAUUUACUUUGCUCUUGCUUUUGAUCUUUAACAUAAAACGAAUCUUAGAGAUGUUUGUGCUCAAAUUUAAUUUAUUAAUUUCAGAUGUUUUUCUGAAGUAAUAACGUCAAGUUGCUAGCAACAGACACCCCCACCCCUUCCCCCCUACUCUCCCCAACUCUGUGAGGAAAGAACAACGUCCUGGCCUUGUUUUUAUAGCCCACUUUAAUGUAUCCCCAGGUCAGUUAAACGUAUCCAGCUAUACACUAAAACAUACAGUCCUUUCCCACUACAAAAGAAGAAAAAAGCUGGAGCAGUGAUUUGUGUUUUAUCACUGGGUUCUUAAACAGCAGCUGGAAGAGGCAUUGAUAUAAAAGCUGUAUGAAAUACUAAAUAACUCCCAUGUAAAUAAAUGUCCAAAGAACAGCACCUUCACAGGCAUUCAUUAUUUCACUUUUUAUGAAAUACACAGUUAUUUGGAUUUAAAUGUGACUGGAGGUUUCACAGUAUCCAUUUACUAAAAAAAGCUGGAUCCAUUACUGCAAGACACUAUUCAUACCUAAUGGAUUAUUCAUUAAAGAAAAAAUGGAUUAAAAUCAGAAUAAAGUAAAAAACUGUGCAGAUAGUUAUGCUAAAAAAAAAAAAAAAAAAGCAAAACAAUCCACACAUCCUGUAUCUGUGAUCAUCAUCAUUUGAUGUCAGACUGUGUAACAACAUGACACAGAUUACAGAGUAUCUGCUAAAAAAAAAAGAUCUGAACUGCCAAAUCAAUUGUUUCAUCAGGACAGGACUGGAAGCCAGAGACACAGAGCAGGCUCCACCCACUGCUGGGUACCAGGUCUUGUUCUGUCUGUGCUAAAACUUUACUUGAGUCAAGAAAACACCUAAAUCCACUGAGCUUCAUGCCUGCUACCAAACAUGACUUUUAAGAAUCAGUCAAGAUGUGAAAAAAGUCAGUGUCUUUGUAAAAAAGGUUUAGAUAAGGAAUUGCUUCUGAUUUUAGUAAACCAAAGCUGUUCUCCUGCCAUGCAAUUUACCAUCACUUUCUGAUCAAGCACAAAAUAUCCUUUUUAGUUCUGAUCUAAAAAAGCUAAAUCUGAAAGACAAAAAUAUUUUCCUUUUCCAAAGAUCUGAUGGUAUUUUUUUUCCCUUCAGAAUAAUGCAUCUCUACUAAAGAAUGAAAUAGCUAUUUUAGUACAAUUUCUUUCAGCCUAGAUCAGCCUACUUAGCAAAAAUAAUUAAUGAUGUAAGAACAAACCCAAACAAGAAUUGUUAAAGAGUCAUGUGAUGAGAUGUAAUACUUAAGUAUGUUGAUAAGCCUUAGACUUUUCAUCAGCUCAACCAUGAAAAAAGCAUAUAAACACUUCAGUUUUAUGCUAAUUCACAGACUGCAUUCUGGCCCUUGGGGCAGUGGCUGAGGCAAGGCAGGAGGGGAGUGCUGGGGAGGGAAUUGCCAGCUCAUGCAGUUCAGCAUGCUGCCUUUGAUGCUACCUGUUUCAUAAUGCAGAAUCUUUACAGCACAACUCUAUUUUAAUAACAUUUCAAACUAAGUUCAUAUUUUAAUUUGGAUACCUUUUUCCAUGUGAAAACCACAUUAUGAACCACUUGAUGGUUUCUACUGCACACAUUUUCAAAAGGAAAUUCAGAAGUGCCUCUGAAGACUUUCUCCCCUCUCUUUCAUUUUCUGUCUGCUUUCUAAAGCCAGCUCACCAAAUAAAUAGUAGAGCUUCACCAGGCUCUUUUGGAUUUGCAUCUUCCUCACUUUAUCAGCUUUGGGAAGUUGGACAACUUUUAGCAGCAUUUCCCAUCUUCACCUCUUUUCUUAACUUCUUGAAAAAUUUACUGUUUUCCAGUUUAAUUCAAGAAAUACAGACUGAGCCUGUCUCUAGGCAAACUGCGUUGCAGUGACACAGGAUGGAAAACAAUGCAGCCAGGUUUACCUUGAAAACCCCAAAGAAACAUGUACCUGAGAAACAGAUUUUCUCACCUAAUCAGAUAAUAUUGGGUUGUAAUUCAGACUUGAACUAGUUUAAAUUCCAGGGGUGUCUGACUCCAAUUUCUGUAAUUACACUCACUUCUCUGGCUUGAUUCCAAAACCCCCUGAAUUCAGAAGAAGCUGUUUUCCAACUCUAGUUCCAAAUGUACAAACCCCAUUUUUGAGGCAGGUUUGCUGUGUCCAAAAUGUGACUGACCUCACCUCAGCUGGAAAUCAAACUGCUCAACCCAGCACUAUGGACAGAGUAAAAAUACAGGAAAAAAAUUACCAACAUAAAAAUAAACCAAAGAAAAGCAAGCAGAUUUUCCAAAUUAGGAGGAGAAUGCCUGGAAUAAUCAGCAUAGGCAAUCAGUAGCAUGCUUUAUUUAGACUGAGCCUUCAAUUAAAUAAAUGCUUUUCUCAGCAAAAGCAAAUGAGACUGUAAAAGGAGGAGAAGGCUAAAUUAGUGCAAUAUGAAUGACAUAAUAAAUAUGUAAUGGGUACAGUACAGACCUUGCCUCUCUUCCCAUGCUCUCUGUAGAGAAUUUGGGGAAAAAAAGUGGUUCUGACUGAACUAUGAAAUUUAUCACAUGGUUCAGAUUGUCACCUUUUGAGUGCUGAUUAAUGAACUAUUUUUUACAGUAACUGCAGAGAUGAAUCCAUGUUCACUGCAUUUCAUGUACAAGUUGAUGGCUCUCCACCCAGACUGCAGGUGAAGUUCAAAGCAAACAAAAGGUGACAUUUCUUCAGAGAGCUGUGAAACACGCAAUUCCCUCCUGCAGACCAUUGUGAAAGCUGGCAGCUUUCACAAAUCAACUGAACAAAUCCAGAGAGGAAUCACUAAAUUGUAUUAUCUUGGUAACAUUAAUAUGACACAGUAAGUCCUGCAAAGAAAGAAAUCUUGGAGGUGGGAAGAGGCAUGGAAAAAAAUACCAUAAUGCACUUUGCUAUCCUGUGCCCUUCACAAGAGUCUGGGGAGUAGGGGCAGCAGGACACUGGGCUGUUAAGACCCUCAUUCUGGUCCCAUUACUCUGACUCUGCUUUUCAGCUAUCUGUUCAAGUGUAAUGAUAAAAUUAGUUUUAAAUAGAGUUAUGUUUAUGCAAAAAUCCCUGGGUCAGCAAACAAAUCUGUUUCUCAUUUAAGGACUGAAGAAAGAGGACAGACUAGAAAAAGCUGAUCCUGGAUACAUUUGUCCCCUAAAGUGCAGGAGCUAGGGAGGAGCACCAGUAGAGCCAAAGUGGAAGCAAAAAGCUGGAGAAGCAGUUCUGUAAAGACAUUAAAUUGUAUUGGAGCAUUUGAAUGCUAUCAACACUCUUGUACCCUGUCAUAUUUUUCAAAGAGAGGAGAACCAAGCAAGUAUCCAGGCACAGAGAUGCUACUCUGAGAUGUGUGUGUACACCCCCACCCAGGUAAGAGUGCAUAGGUAUUUUGUAAAAGGCAGUGUUUCUGCCAAAUACAACCAUUUAUGUCAUAUGGAUAAAUCGAUCUUGAACAUUUUCCCUGGAGUAUCAGGCACAAACUGGCUUUUCUUUCUUCCUUUCACUUGCAGAGUACAGCUGCUGUCUGAAGUGCUGAACAACGUGGUCGGUUCAAGAGUAAUACCUGUUCUCUCAACAAUUUUGCACUCCAAAAUGAUGUUCUUUCAGCUUCCCUACAAGAGCCACAUUAACCAUAGGCAUUUUUUGCUGCACCUUUUUUUCUCCCCUGGGCACGUGGUGUAUCUCAUCUUUUCAAGACUCCAGUGCUACACAAGGAAUAAUAAUAUUUAGAAGUCUUUGAAAACAAAAUCUCUUCAGUGGAAUAGAAUUGAUUUUAUCUCAUUGCAAUUUCAGAGUGCUCCCACUGCCUCAUCUGCCAAGCAGGUGUUACAGCAGCAAACAAAGAUGUGAAAGCAUCAGUCACAGCACUGUUAACUGCUCAGUGCUCAGGCAGCUCUCAGAUCCUGUUAUCAAAAAACCCCCAAUAAUUUCCCAACAGAGCACCAGCAGAAGGAAACAGUCCCACUGAUACAGAGAAAAUGACAUUCUGAUGCAGCGAUGGCAGGAAAUUUUGAGAGACUGGCACACUCCAGGAACAUGAAGACAAUUACCAGAAACAAUGGAAACAGCAUGGAGGAGUAGCUGUGUACUGAGUCUGUCUCCAUGGCGCUCAAGUGGCAUCACACAAAGCUGAGGGAUUUGGUACAAUUACUCAUUUAGCACAUGCUCCACCUGCCCUUCAUCCCAGACAUGGCCCCUAUUAGAAGCGGAUGUGCAAAGGAUUGAUUUUAGCAGAGCAAGACUUGUUUUAACACUGAAUAAAUCUGGGGUGCAUUACACUCUUGGUUUAAAAUUGGCUCAGUGUGGGAGAAAGCAACCUCCAAGGUAAUUCUGAAUUCUGUUUCCAUGUUUUAUGUAAAACAUAAAUUCUGUAUUUUUCUCCUAUGGCAAUACCUGAUCUUCCCUCUGUAGGCAGGAAAAACUCAGGUUGUCUUGUAUCUGUCAGUACUUGCAAAAUGGAAACCUUGCUAUUUAUGUAAAGGAACUUUUAAUGUUUAGCUUUUUACUUUUCGUUCAAAGUUUUAAAUUUUGUUUGGUACUUUUUACAGGCGAGUAGAUCCAGUUGAUAAUUUUGAUCCAUGGGAAACAAUGAGGUUUAUAAGCUGUAUUCAAAAAUUCUUUGGAAACAGUACCAUUUAAGUUAAAUGUAUUUUGUCUGGCAGCAGAGACGUUAACAAUUUGAAACAAAAAUUCAAGAGUAGGAAAGUUUGAGAAAAUACCUGCUUUAUGAAACUUUUCCAUUAUCUCCUGACGAACUGAUUUUCCCAAGUUGAAGUAAUCGUCAUCUUCAUCAGGUUUGCUCAGAAACAGAGGGAUGUGCUGAAAUACAAUUAUAUGCUUGCAUUUCUGGUUUGCAGCCACAGCCAGCUGCUCAUCGAGCCAGGCAUCCUGGGCUUGCCUUAACUCAGGGCACUUGGAAGAAUCAAAGUAUAGCUGAGAAUUCAACACAAGAAAGAAAACACCUCCAACCCAAAAGCUGAAGUAGUCAUCUCCCCAGUUCUGGCAAUAAUCAUCUAUGGUUUCUCUGGAUGGAGUAUUGCCAAUGUCAUGGUUCCCACUGACGAAUACCAGUGGUAUGUCCUGGUCAGUGUUUUUCAGAACAUCCUUUAAAUCUUGCUCUUGGUUUUUUUUCCAUCGGGUUCCUAAAGGAAAAAAAAUACAAAACAUUUGAGUGUUUAUGGUUUUUUUUCUCACCUUCAUUGUUAGCUUUUGUUUAUGGAACUGUGCAUAGCAAGAAAAUAUUGUGUAUUAGAUGUGAUCAUGAAACUAUCUCCACUUUAUCCCUGUACCUCCACCCAGCCCUGUCCCUCCCUUCCCAAGGCCAAGCCAUUUGCAGUAGCUGGCCUGGAGGCAGGCUCUGGACAGGACCAGCAGAGAGCACAGCAGAAGGUGAUGCCAUGGUCACUGCUUUGCACCAGGAGCUUCAGCUGAUUCUUUUCAUCUACAGACUCAUGAUGUGGUGAAAAAAUGCAGCAGCCUUGGAUGGUGUAACAGCACAAGGGUAAAAACCAGACCAACUUCUGGCUUAUAUUUUAUGACUGUGCAACAAAAUUAAGGGUUGUUGGUUCUUUUUUUUUUUUUUUUCCAUUACAAGAACUAUUUUAACAGCAAAAAUUUAUAUCAGUGUCUUGUGACAACUUAUUUAUAUGAGUUUCUUUUAAUAAUAAGAAUGCCAUUAGAUAAAAAGAAAUUAGUUGUGUACUUUGCUAUUUUUCCCUGCAAUUCAUUUGUAUUAAUAUGCAUAUCUGUACAGGUACUCUUCUGGAUGUCAGGAAUUUGUCCCAGCCUAUGAAGAUUCAUUGUAUUGACAGACUGAUUUACAAUCACUGAAAAAAUUUAGAAAGAAGUUUUAAAAGGAAAACAGAUUGCUCAAAAUGGAAAACAAGGUCUCAGCCCAAGAGCCUAGGAAAUCCUACUAAGAAGAGAUUGAUUUAGAACAACUACAUCUUGGCUUGAUCUUCUUGGCAGAAGGUCAAAACAACUUCAAAAGAAGAGAAUUCCGCAGAGAGAAAAGUGGGAAAAAGUGGAGGAAUGUCUCAGGACCCCUUGGUCAGUGCUGGAGAGCAAGGGCUGAGAUGUCCCGCUGGCCCUGAGCUGCAGCACCACAACACAACACAAAUGUGUGCCACAAGGAGCCCUCCUGAGGCACCUCCCUGACUUCCCAUCUGAGGUAGGGAACAGGUAAAGAAGACAAAGACAGUGGUAAAGAAGGAAGCCACUGGAAAAUUAAAGUAGUCCCUGCCACAGCAUAAAAAAUAUCCUUUUAAUCUCAGGCACAGAGCUAUAAUAUCUAAUUAUUCCAAUUUUUAUAAAGAACAUUUCUGUUUGAUGGACAUGUAUUUCUUUGGCUUCGACGGAGCUUUGUUGUAGGUGAAUAGUAAAAUAAUAUAGUGCCAAAAGGCAAUAUGAAAAAAAUUAUUCGUGAAGUGCCAGGGUAGAUGUAACUGAAAUAAAUUUCUGUGAUGUUUAUCCUGGCAUCAUCUGCAGUGACAUUUUAAAAUUCCAGGCCACAAUUUUCUGUCUUCAUGCUAGGUUGUGUAAAUAAAGUCUUGCUCUGAGAUAAAUUAUUUCACAAAUUAAUAGCCCACAAAGGGCAGCUUGGCUUUUAUGAAAAACAUGAAAGUGGGAACUGUUGCUGGUGCAGUUGUGUGCAAUUUUCCACAACUUCCCAGCUUAUCAUUUUUGAAAGCUGAGUGAUGUGAACAGGAGCAGGAAGGUGCAACGUCACCAUGCCUGUUGUUUUCUGUUGUGUAUCCCUGUUUGCCUCAACAGCUCCAGAGUUCUGUCCUGCACUGCUUAAAGGAACCAAGACAACCAGCCUUCUUCACACACUGAAAGAGCAGAUUUCAAGACAGUACUUUUACACCACUUUUGCUAAAGCUGUAUUCAGUCAGCAGAAUUACAGAUUAUUCUGACAAAGAAAUAAUCCUUAAGUACUAAUCCUCAGUUACAAUUUCCUUUGGUAUUCCACAGAAGGGUGCACCUUCUAAGAUCGGGUUGGGUUUAAUUUUUGUAAGGCACCAGCUAUGAAAAACAACUCAGAGCAUUGCUUCUUCCCAAGCUGUAUCUGCAAUGCUGAUGGCAAUUUUUGUAUAACACAAUCCUUCCCAUACAGUAACCCCCAACAACACUGUAACUUUUCCUCCAAAAGUAUUCCAAAUGAAAAAAUAUCAAUUAAUUAAUAGCACCAGUUUUUCUACUGACAUGAAUCAGGAGGGUGAAGGGGAGGGGGUUACAAUGGCAUUAUGAAGUGGUACCCCCAGGCAUUCCUGGCUUGGUGUUAGGUGAAGUCUGAGUACUCCCCCCAAGGCAAGAGAAGCCUUUAGCUCAAACAUCUUCAAAUAAUUUAACAAUUUUCAAA